UACGGAGGGUGCAAGCGUUAUCCGGAUUCACUGGGUUUAAAGGGUGCGUAGGUGGGUUGGUAAGUCAGUGGUGAAAUCUCCGAGCUUAACUUGGAAACUGCCAUUGAUACUAUUAGCCUUGAAUAUUGUGGAGGUCAGCGGAAUAUGUCAUGUAGCGGUGAAAUGCUUAGAGAUGACAUAGAACACCAAUUGCGAAGGCAGCUGGCUACACAUAUAUUGACGCUGAGGCGCGAGAGCGUGGGGAGCAAACAGG
rnacentral:rRNA from 1 species